rnacentral:rRNA from 1 species
AGUGAACGCUGGCGGUAGGCCUAACACAUGCAAGUCGAACGGCAGCACAGUAAGAGCUUGCUCUUACGGGUGGCGAGUGGCGGACGGGUGAGGAAUACAUCGGAAUCUACUUUUUCGUGGGGGAUAACGUAGGGAAACUUACGCUAAUACCGCAUACGACCUACGGGUGAAAGCAGGGGAUCUUCGGACCUUGCGCGAUUGAAUGAGCCGAUGUCGGAUUAGCUAGUUGGCGGGGUAAAGGCCCACCAAGGCGACGAUCCGUAGCUGGUCUGAGAGGAUGAUCAGCCGCACUGGAACUGAGACACGGUCCAGACUCCUACGGGAGGCAGCAGUGGGGAAUAUUGGACAAUGGGCGCAAGCCUGAUCCAGCCAUACCGCGUGGGUGAAGAAGGCCUUCGGGUUGUAAAGCCCUUUUGUUGGGAAAGAAAAGCAGCAGGUUAAUACCCCGCUGUUCUGACGGUACCCAAAGAAGAAGCACCGGCUAACUUCGU